GGCUUGCUGGGCGGCUGCUUGUGCCGGCGGUUGGGCCGGGGCCUGGCUUUGGUGCAAUGCUCCAGCUUCUCGCCGGCGGUCGGCAGGUCCAUAAGGAAUCCGGUGGCGGUGGCGGGCUGCGUGGCGGGGAGCGAGCCGCUCGCAGGCUCAGCAUCCUUUGUGGAGGCAGGGCGUGCCGGCGGCGCGGCGGGGCUGAGUGACGGCGGCGCCCGGUGAGCUCGGAGCCCGCUGGCGUCUCGACCCGCCGCCGGCUCCAGCUCCGACACACCUACGAGAGGCGAGAGGGUCCUUGUUGACGCCCGGCCUCGGCAGGCCUCCCCAUCAUCAUCAUCAUCAUCAUCACCGACGCCGUCACCUUCGCCCACGCGCGGAGGGUCAGCGGGGCGCUGGCUCCGCCGCGGGGAGGGGAGCGUGGCCGUGCCCACCGGGAGCGCGCGUGGCGGCUUUGCGGCGCAGCCCGGGAUGGAUCCUGCCACCGUCGCUGGAGGGCCAUCUUGUACUGCAGGGAGACAGGGAUGGUGGCGGCUUCGGCGUGGACAAGCUGGCUGUGCUGAGUGGCAUCCUGUGGCAGCUGGAGCCAGCCAGGCUUUGCCAGGUGACGGGUGCAAUCCCCCCAUCACUCCCAGACCCACAGCACUGCACCCCCUGAUCCUGUCCCAGCUCCAAAACCCUCCAUGACGCUGGAUUGAAUACUUCCCCAUCCAGGACCCUGCAGCACACUGGAUCCCAGAGCAACAACAGCGGGAGAGGGUGCAAACAGCCAGGACCAGCUGGGCCACCACAAGGACAAACUCCUGGUGCCAGCAGCAUGGCCUGGCAGGCUAAUGGUCCCAUUUCCCAGCACUAAUUGCCUUAGCACUGCCCUGGGGGGGUGCCGGGGGGUGCCUGAACCCGGAGAGGCUCCGGUGCUAAGCCCGGCAUCAUCCGGUAAGGCGGAUAAAAGGUGGUUAUAGCGCGGGCAUCACGCGGCAGCACUGGGUUUGGACCCUACCUCCUCUGCGGCGAGGUCCAGAGGAUUCUUGCCCCUCGCCAGCGCGGUGGCAUCGUCCUCAGCCGACUCCGGCAGCAGCACCAGGAGGUCGAGCCCCUGCUUGGAGAGGCUCUCUGCCUAAAACCAUUAGGAAGCGCUUAAAUUAUCCCGGGGGCUGAAGCGCGCCUGGCUGCCCUGUGUGCUCCGUGCUGCUCCGCUCCCUACCCACGGCUGGGAUUUGUGAGCGGAUUUAGGCCUGAUUAGCCGGCUGCCAGCCCCAGCACAGCUGCCCCGCGCCUGCCCCAGUGCACGAGUGGCCAGCGCCCGGCUUCACCCCAGCACCCCCCACCACACCACACGGCAACAGCUCCAGGACUUUGCUCAGGGUGUUAAUGUUGCUGUGACCACACCAGGAGAGGAUUACCUGGCAGGAAAACCAGCCUGGGUGGAAAUUGUCCUGCUUCUCAGACUGCAAAUCUGUGGUGACAGUGUUGGCUGGUGCCCAGGCAAUGCUGGGGUACCCCUAUCCCACAUCCCAGCACCACAUCCCAAUCCCGCAGGUGCUGGUGCCCCUGGCACUCACCAGUUUGCACUGGGCGAUGGUCAGGUCUCCCAGCACAGCAUCCACGAUGCAGUCGGCCGCAGCGGCUGUGAUGGACAGCUUGAUUUCACUGGGAGCAGAAAGAGUGGUGUCAGGGCCAGCACCCACCCCCUGCAAGCCAUGGAGCCAGCUCCCCCCAGGGAAAGCCUGCUGAGGAGAUGGAUGCUUGGCUGUGGCACCCAGGAUAUGCCCUGCACUGCGGCUCACUGGGUUUGUGCUGCCAGAGCAGGAAUGGCAACAGGGGCUGGCUGGGAUGGAGGAAGCCAAGUGCACUCCCACACUGAUGGUUUGGGCUCCCCUCUGCCAGCCACAGGUGUGUGCCUGCAGGCACAUCAUCCCAUGGAGCCCCCCAGCUUCCCAGGGACACAACCAAACUAGACCCAAGCAGGAAGCAAAGCCACGGCUGGGAAAACACAGCGACAGGACCCAGCACAUCACCACCACAAUGUAGGGAGAGGGGAAGUUGGUAGGCAACCCCCAAAAUCCUCCUCUGGCCCAGUGAGUGAGUGACAGCUGUUGAGCCAGGAGGAAGAACGGCACAUCACCCACUUCAGCUUGCUGAAGACAUCGGUGACCAUCUGGUCCAGGACGGCACUGAGGCUGAGGUGGUCCUGGAGGCAGAUCCGCUCCGACAUGGCAUUGACCAGCUGAUCCCUGACCCCGCUCUUCUGCACCACGUCUGGGCACAGGCUGUGCGCCGUGUCCAGCACCGCCUGCAUGAUCGCCUGCAGUGUGGGGGACAAAGGCGAGUUUUGGUGCCUGUCUGUCUCCAUUCACAUGGUUUCCAGGAGGCACCAUCUCCGUUAUCCUUGGGCCAAGGCUGAUGAAUAUCCCAUGCUGCCCAUGGAUGCCCACCUGGAUUUCCCAGCUGCAGGUCUGCGAUGCUUCCUCCGUGAGACACUCCAGCUUGUGCUGCAGCUUGCCAUUCUGGUAUGGGGUGUUUCCUGCCUCAUACAGGAGGGGUAGGAUCUGCCAUGGGAAGAGAGAUGGUAUGGAUCAUCCCACGCCACUUCAUCUUUGCUUCCCAUCCUUCCAUGCUCAGCCAGCAGCUGUGACUGUGCCAUGGAAGAGCAUCACCUGCAUCAGCUGGGCAGACCUAGAGACUUGGCUUUGCUGGGCCAGGGUGGGGCAUCCUAGUCCCUCAGAGUCCCUGUCCCCCCCAGAUGGACCCUCAACUGCUCCCCACCCCCCACUGACCCUCCCUCCCCUCCUGCACACCACUGCACUGCUGCCUGCAUCAGCAGAGAUGGUGUCCCAUCCCUUUCACCACCUUUCCAACAACAGCACUGUCCUCUUAAGUUCUAUGUCCACCAGAUUAAGUACCUAAGGGGGUGCUGAGAGAGUUGGGAAAAAGGGAAAAGAGAUGGUUUGAAGAGAAGUAGAGGAGGAGGAAAAGGUGCAAUGGGGAGAGAGAAACAGGACCAAGAGAAUCAAACCAGAUCUGACAGUGCCAGGAGCUGCCCAGCCAGCGUGGUGGAUUUCAUCGUGGGCUGAUGGAGCACUCUCAUCACUAGGGUGGGAUGAGGGUGUCCCAGGAAAGACAACCCCUCAGGGAUGCAGGGAGGUUUCUCACCAGUGUGGGCAUCUCUGGGUUGCAGGGCAUGCCCAAAGCUGGAGCAGUCACUUCUCCAAAGGAGGGGUGUGCGAGCAUGGGAUGCAAGAGAGGGUGCACUUGUAACCUCUGCUUCCCCUGGGGGGUGCACACAACUGUGUGCCUUUGGGGCGAGGGGACUGAGAGCAUUUUGACCCUUGCUCUAGAAGGGAAUUCAGAAAUCCUCAGCUGUUUUCUAACGUCUGCAGACGCUCGGUGACGUGCAUCUGUUGCAUCGACAUUCUGG